GUGGGGAAUAUUGGGCAAUGGGGGGAACCCUGACCCAGCGACGCCGCGUGGGUGAAGAAAUCCUUCGGGAUGUAAAGCCCUGUUGUAUGGGAAGAGCAGAAGACGGUACCAUACGAGGAAGCCCCGGCAAACUACGUGCCAGCAGCCGCGGUAAUACGUAGGGGGCAAGCGUUGUCCGGAAUUACUGGGCGUAAAGCGCACGCAGGCUGAAUUAUAAGUCGGUAGUCAAAUACGGAGGCUCAACUUCCGGAUAUCUAUCGAUACUGUAAAUCUAGAGUAUGUGAGAGGGAAGCGGAAUUCCCGGUGUAACGGUGAAAUGCGUAGAUAUCGGGAGGAACACCAGUGGCGAAGGCGGCUUCCUGGCACAAUACUGACGCUCAUGUGCGAAAGCUAGGGCAGCGAACGGGAUUAGAAACCCGUGUAGUCC
rnacentral:rRNA from 1 species